GCGUGAAUUAUCUACCUACUGGUACGGGACAACAGUUGGAAACGACUGCUAAUACCGUAUACGCUGGUAACGGGAAAGGGGGCCUCUUCUUGAAAGCUCUCGCCAGUAGAUGAGUCCGCGUUUCAUUAGCUAGACGGUGGGGUAACGGCCUACCGUGGCAACGAUGAAUAGCAGGCCUGAGAGGGUGGCCUGCCACACUGGGACUGGAACACGGCCCAGACUCCUACGGGAGGCAGCAGUGGGGAAUAUUGCGCAAUGGACGAAAGUCUGACGCAGCGACGCCGCGUGGAGGAUGAAGGUUUUCGGAUCGUAAACUCCUGUCAAGAGGGAAGAAACCUAUCGGAACUAAUACUUUCGGUAAUUGACGGUACCUCUAGAGGAAGCACCGGCUAAUUCAGUGCCAGCAGCCGCGGUAAUACUGAAGGUGCAAGCGUUAAUCGGAAUCACUGGGCGUAAAGCGCUCG
rnacentral:rRNA from 1 species